AAUUUUAUAAAAAUAAUUUAAAUAUAUUUUGUUUUAGUAUUAAUUAAAAAUAAAUUUAUAGAUUUAUAGUUUAAUAGUAUUGUGAAAGAAUUUUAUUAGAUUUAAUAAAGAAUAAUUUUAGUACCUUUUGUAUCAGGGUUAAUUAAAAUUUUUAAUUUAUUUUUAUUUUCUCAAAAUUUAUAGAGUUAAUUUUAUUAUUAAUUUAUUGUUUUAUAAAUAUUUAAAAAAUAAUUUUAGUUUUGAUAUUUAAUUCGUUAUAUUAUAUUUAGUUAUUUAAGAUUUAAAUUUAAUUUAUAAUUUUAAGAGUUUGUUUAUAAUUUAUAAAUAUAUUUUAUUUUAAAUUUAUAUUAUUUUAGGGAUAAGCUUGAAAUUUUUAUAUAAUGUUAUAUUAUUUAAAUAAUUUUUAGGAAUAGAAAUUUUUAUUUUAAGUUUGUAAAAAUUUAUUAUUUAAUUUUAUUUAAUUUAUUAUAAUUUAUUUAUUGUUAAUAUUAAAUUUUAUAAUUUAAUUAUUUAAUUAUAGUAAUAAUGAUUAAAUUAGUAUAAUUAAUUUAUUUAUAAAUUAUGAAUUCGGCAAAAAUUAUUUUCAUCUGUUUAACAAAAACAUAGUAUUAAGUUUUAUUUAAUAUAAAAUCUGCUCAAUGAAAUUUAUUAAAUAGCUGCAGUAUUUUGACUGUGCAAAGGUAGCAUAAUAAUUAGUCUUUUAAUUGUGGACUUGUAUGAAAGAUUUGAUGAAAAAUAAACUUUAUUAUUUAUAUAAUUAAAAUUUUAUUUUUAAGUAAAAAAGCUUAAAUAUUUUAAAGGGACGAUAAGACCCUAUAAAACUUUAUAAUUAUUUUAUUUAAAUUUUGAGUUUUAUAAAAAUUUAUAUAUAUAAUAAUUAUUUUAUUGGGGUGAUAAAAAAAAUUAUUUAACUUUUUUUAAAUUAUAACAUUAAUUAAUGGAUAAUUGAAUUUAAAUUUUAAAUUAAAUGAAAAAGUUACUUUAGGGAUAACAGCGUAAUUAAUUUUUUAAGUUCAAAUUUAAAAAUUAGUUUGCGACCUCGAUGUUGAAUUAGGAUUAAUCUUAGGUGCAAAAUUUUAAGUUUUAGGUCUGUUCGACCUUUAAAUUCUUACAUGAUUUGAGUUCAAACC
rnacentral:rRNA from 1 species